AUGAACACUUACUUUGCUUCUGUCGACUUCACGAAAGCUUCUCCCCAGAUUCCGAUUGCCAUGGCCACCGCUAAGACGACGGUUCGCGUCGCCGCUGCUCAGAUGACAUCCGUCAAUGAUCUGAUGGCCAAUUUCGCCACGUGCUCUCGUCUCGUACAAGAAGCAGCAUCGGCUGGUGCAAAGCUGAUUUGCUUCCCGGAGAACUUCUCCUACAUGGGAGAGAAAUCAGGGGACAGCGUACAGAUCGCGGAAGCAUUAGACGGGCCAGUGAUGCAACGGUAUUGCUCUCUCGCCAGGGAUUCAAAUAUUUGGUUGUCUCUUGGAGGCUUCCAAGAAAGAUUUGAUGAUACUCAUUUGUGUAAUACACAUGUUGUGAUCGAUGCAGCUGGAAUGAUACAAAAGACUUAUCAGAAAAUGCAUUUGUUUGAUGUUGAUGUUCCUGGUGGAAGCUCGUAUAAGGAAAGCAGCUUUACAGUUCCAGGGACAAAGAUUGUUUCUGUCGAAAGUCCUAUUGGGUGCUUAGGCCUUACAGUAUGCUACGAUUUGAGGUUUCCUAAGAUAUAUCAGCAACUGAGAUUCGACCAGAACGCUCAGGUUUUACUGGUACCGUCAGCUUUCACCACGGUCACUGGGGAGGCACACUGGGAGAUUCUUCUUCGAGCCAGAGCGAUUGAAACACAAUGUUAUGUUAUAGCUGCUGCUCAAGCUGGAAAACAUAAUGAGAAAAGAGAAAGUUAUGGAGACACACUGAUCAUUGAUCCUUGGGGAACUGUGAUUGGAAGAUUACCGGAUCGUUUUUCAACUGGCAUUGUUGUGGCGGAAAUUGAUUUUUCGUUGCUUGAUUCGGUGAGAACAAAAAUGCCAAUUGAUAAGCAACGGGUCUCGAUAGAUCUCUAAAGAGCGCUGAUAGGCCUCGUAAAGACUGUAUGUAAGGAGAUAUUCUGCAAGGACGCAAGGUGAAGAAGAGCUGGAGUCUGUGGUUACAAAAGAAUUGUUGUUUUGAUGACUGCUGAUUGCCGAUUGAUGUGAGGUUAUUAGUGGAGCAGUGCAACAAGGUUCGAAUAUUCGAAUAUUCCAUUAAGAACGUUCACAGUCUCAUCAUCACAAGCUAGCUGGAGAGUCAAAAACCUUACGAAGGAGACAAUGCGCUUAGGACAUCAAGCUACUUCUAGUGCAGUGUCUGCGUUUACUAAAGGAAGAAGGAAAUUAUCAGACUCUGAGUUUGAGGAUCGUCGUAAGAAAGGCUUAUGUUUUGAAAAUGUGAUGUAUAUAUUAGCAGUUGAUUGAUGGAUAUGAGGUCAACGUGAUGGAAGAAGAACAAACAUCUCACUGAACUUGGUUUUGGGGUUGUCUUCACCGACAAGGACAAAGUUGAAAGGAAGUGUAGUGUGAAGAAAUUGGAAGUAACUGUUAUGAUGAACAGUGGAGAUACGCAUAAUUUCAGAUCUCUUUCGCGAUUGGCAGUGCAGAUUUACACGAAAUGUCAUUUUUGUACAAUGGACAAUAGGUUACACUAAAAGGUGAUUCUAAUGGACUAACUUUUCGAGAAUUGCCACCAAUCAAUUUUUUUCCUUCCUUUUAAUCAUAUUAAUCAAAGGGUUUGACUGGUAUAUUUUCUGAUUGACAAAUAACAGAAUAGCUGAAUAAUAGAAGAAAGAACUGAAUUGGAUAAAGUUUCAAGAAAACCAAUUUUUCUCAGGUUGAAGAAUUGAUUUGGUCUUCUGGCCAUAAAGUAAAAGGUCUCAGUUUUUGGAAGGUUUCUCUCUUCUACAGAUCAGAUCCGGCGUUGAAGAUUCUAUUUCUUCUCCAAAAAUUGGUAUCAUCUUCUCUUGGCUGGGAGUUAUAUCUCCCUUCAUACCCUCAUGAUGAACCUUAUUAAAGGCGUAGGGUUAUUGGUCUAGAGCUCGAGAUGAUCGGCUUUAAUCUUACGGAGGCAAGAAGCUUUUUGAUUAAUCGGGAUCUCGCUGUGGAAGGAGUUUACAUGAUGGUUUUUGAGGAGGAUGAUUUGGAUCUGUUGAAUUUUCAGUUUCAAAUUCAUCGGAUCUUUGGUUUUCCAGAGGAGCUCUAUUUCAGUGACGUUGUCGGCGGCGGCAUCUCCUCACCGUCCACCAAUCUUCUGCCCUAGGCUGACACGCGUGUUAUACGUGUUAUAAAAUUAUCCAUCAUUAUCCCAUUAUGUUAAUGGAUCAAUAUUUGGGCUUAAAUUGUAAUAGCUUUAAACCUCGAAACCAUAUGUAAUGUGCUUAUGUGCCCAUGUUCGGCUUUUAUAUAAGAGAUGUUUACAUUCUAUA